rnacentral:lncRNA from 1 species
CUUUUCACUCUGGCCCACAAAUGUUUAAAUUACAAAUAUGACCUCCAUGACUCCCCCUUUUUUACAAAUACCCCCUUGUUACGUAACAAUUUUUCCACCCACGUGAAUGCAAUGGACUAUGGACUUAAUUUUGAAAGUUAUAGAACUGAAGUAGAAAAUAUAGAAUUUUGAGGAUCAUUGAAAUCGAAAACUAGACCCAAAUUGGAGGGACAGGUUAGACUUGGUAGAAACUAGAAACAGAAAAUACUGUUCACACCCACCAAGCUCUCAAACUCAAAAGUAGAGGUGUCCA